AACUCUAGAGCUAAUACAUGCAUCAAUCCCUGACUUCCUGGAAGGGGUGUACUUAUUAGAUGGAAACCAGUGCGGGUUCGCCCGGAUUAUGGUGAUUCAUAAUAAUUUUCGGAUCGAUCAAUUGAUCGAUGCAUCAUUCAAGUUUCUGCCCUAUCAGCUUUGGAUGGUAGGGUAUUGGCCUACCAUGGCAUUAACGGGUAACGGAGAAUUAGGGUUCGAUUCCGGAGAGGGCGCCUGAGAAACGGCGACCAGUUCCAAGGAAGGCAGCAGGCGCGUAAAUUACCCAAUCCUGACACAGGGAGGUAGUGACAAUAAAUAACAAUGUCGGGCCUUCGGGUUUGACAAUUGGAAUGAGAACAAUUUAAAUCCCUUAUCGAGGAUCAAUUGGAGGGCAAGUCUGGUGCCAGCAGCCGCGGUAAUUCCAGCUCCAAUAGCGUAUACUAAAGUUGUUGCAGUUAAAAAGCUCGUAGUUGAAUUUCUGGUUUCGGAGUGCGGUCUGCCCCGUGGGGUAAGUAUCAGCGCUCGGGAGCCAUCCUCGAGGAGAACAUGCCUGUGAUUGAGUUCAUGGGUAUGGGAGCCUCGUCUUUUACUGUGAGCAAACUAGAGUGUUCAAAGCAGGCUUACGCCGUUGAAUACAUUAGCAUGGAAUAAUAAAAUAGGACUCUGGUCUAUUUUGUUGGUUAGUACUCCAGGGUAAUGAUUAAUAGGGACAGUUGGGGGUAUUCGUAUUCAAUUGUCAGAGGUGAAAUUCUUGGAUUUAUGGAAGACGAACUACUGCGAAAGCAUUUA
rnacentral:rRNA from 1 species